CUGUAACGAUGUCGAUUGGGAGGUUGUGCCCUGAGGCGUGGCUCGGGAGCUAACGCGUUAAAUCGACCGCUGGGGAGUACGGCCGCAAGGUUAAAACUCAAAUGAAUUGACGGGGGCCCGCACAGCGGUGGAGCAUGUGGUUUAAUUCGAUGCAACGCGAAGAACCUUACCUACUCUUGACAUCCAGAGAAUUUAGCAGAGAUGCUUUAGUGCCUUCGGGAACUCUGAGACAGGUGCUGCAUGGCUGUCGUCAGCUCGUGUUGUGAAAUGUUGGGUUAAGUCCCGCAACGAGCGCAACCCUUAUCCUUUGUUGCCAGCGAUUCGGUCGGGAACUCAAAGGAGACUGCCAGUGAUAAACUGGAGGAAGGUGGGGAUGACGUCAAGUCAUCAUGGCCCUUACGAGUAGGGCUACACACGUGCUACAAUGGCGUAUACAAAGAGAAGCGACCUCGCGAGAGCAAGCGGACCUCAUAAAGUACGUCGUAGUCCGGAUUGGAGUCUGCAACUCGACUCCAUGAAGUCGGAAUCGCUAGUAAUCGUAGAUCAGAAUGCUACGGUGAAUACGUUCCCGGGCCUUGUACACACCGCCCGUCACACCAUGGGAGUGGGUUGCAAAAGAAGUAGGUAGCUUAACCUUCGGGAGGGCGCUUACCACUUUGUGAUUCAUGACUGGGGUGAAGUCGUAACAAGGUAACCAAGGGCGAAUUCUG
rnacentral:rRNA from 1 species